AGCGUACACGGUGGAUGCCCUGGCAGUCAGAGGCGAUGAAGGACGUGCUAAUCUGCGAUAAGCGUCGGUAAGGUGAUAUGAACCGUUAUAACCGGCGAUUUCCGAAUGGGGAAACCCAGUGUGUUUCGACACACUAUCAUUAACUGAAUCCAUAGGUUAAUGAGGCGAACCGGGGGAACUGAAACAUCUAAGUACCCCGAGGAAAAGAAAUCAACCGAGAUUCCCCCAGUAGCGGCGAGCGAACGGGGAGGAGCCCAGAGCCUGAAUCAGUGUGUGUGUUAGUGGAAGCGUCUGGAAAGGCGCGCGAUACAGGGUGACAGCCCCGUACACAAAAAUGCACAUACUGUGAGCUCGAUGAGUAGGGCGGGACACGUGGUAUCCUGUCUGAAUAUGGGGGGACCAUCCUCCAAGGCUAAAUACUCCUGACUGACCGAUAGUGAACCAGUACCGUGAGGGAAAGGCGAAAAGAACCCCGGCGAGGGGAGUGAAAAAGAACCUGAAACCGUGUACGUACAAGCAGUGGGAGCCUCUUUUAUGGGGUGACUGCGUACCUUUUGUAUAAUGGGUCAGCGACUUAUAUUCUGUAGCAAGGUUAACCGAAUAGGGGAGCCGAAGGGAAACCGAGUCUUAACUGGGCGUUAAGUUGCAGGGUAUAGACCCGAAACCCGGUGAUCUAGCCAUGGGCAGGUUGAAGGUUGGGUAACACUAACUGGAGGACCGAACCGACUAAUGUUGAAAAAUUAGCGGAUGACUUGUGGCUGGGGGUGAAAGGCCAAUCAAACCGGGAGAUAGCUGGUUCUCCCCGAAAGCUAUUUAGGUAGCGCCUCGUGAAUUCAUCUCCGGGGGUAGAGCACUGUUUCGGCAAGGGGGUCAUCCCGACUUACCAACCCGAUGCAAACUGCGAAUACCGGAGAAUGUUAUCACGGGAGACACACGGCGGGUGCUAACGUCCGUCGUGAAGAGGGAAACAACCCAGACCGCCAGCUAAGGUCCCAAAGUCAUGGUUAAGUGGGAAACGAUGUGGGAAGGCCCAGACAGCCAGGAUGUUGGCUUAGAAGCAGCCAUCAUUUAAAGAAAGCGUAAUAGCUCACUGGUCGAGUCGGCCUGCGCGGAAGAUGUAACGGGGCUAAACCAUGCACCGAAGCUGCGGCAGCGACGCUUAUGCGUUGUUGGGUAGGGGAGCGUUCUGUAAGCCUGUGAAGGUGUACUGUGAGGCAUGCUGGAGGUAUCAGAAGUGCGAAUGCUGACAUAAGUAACGAUAAAGCGGGUGAAAAGCCCGCUCGCCGGAAGACCAAGGGUUCCUGUCCAACGUUAAUCGGGGCAGGGUGAGUCGACCCCUAAGGCGAGGCCGAAAGGCGUAGUCGAUGGGAAACAGGUUAAUAUUCCUGUACUUGGUGUUACUGCGAAGGGGGGACGGAGAAGGCUAUGUUGGCCGGGCGACGGUUGUCCCGGUUUAAGCGUGUAGGCUGGUUUUCCAGGCAAAUCCGGAAAAUCAAGGCUGAGGCGUGAUGACGAGGCACUACGGUGCUGAAGCAACAAAUGCCCUGCUUCCAGGAAAAGCCUCUAAGCAUCAGGUAACAUCAAAUCGUACCCCAAACCGACACAGGUGGUCAGGUAGAGAAUACCAAGGCGCUUGAGAGAACUCGGGUGAAGGAACUAGGCAAAAUGGUGCCGUAACUUCGGGAGAAGGCACGCUGAUAUGUAGGUGAAGCGACUUGCUCGUGGAGCUGAAAUCAGUCGAAGAUACCAGCUGGCUGCAACUGUUUAUUAAAAACACAGCACUGUGCAAACACGAAAGUGGACGUAUACGGUGUGACGCCUGCCCGGUGCCGGAAGGUUAAUUGAUGGGGUUAGCGGUAACGCGAAGCUCUUGAUCGAAGCCCCGGUAAACGGCGGCCGUAACUAUAACGGUCCUAAGGUAGCGAAAUUCCUUGUCGGGUAAGUUCCGACCUGCACGAAUGGCGUAAUGAUGGCCAGGCUGUCUCCACCCGAGACUCAGUGAAAUUGAACUCGCUGUGAAGAUGCAGUGUACCCGCGGCAAGACGGAAAGACCCCGUGAACCUUUACUAUAGCUUGACACUGAACAUUGAGCCUUGAUGUGUAGGAUAGGUGGGAGGCUUUGAAGUGUGGACGCCAGUCUGCAUGGAGCCGACCUUGAAAUACCACCCUUUAAUGUUUGAUGUUCUAACGUUGGCCCCUGAUCGGGGUUGCGGACAGUGUCUGGUGGGUAGUUUGACUGGGGCGGUCUCCUCCUAAAGAGUAACGGAGGAGCACGAAGGUUGGCUAAUCCUGGUCGGACAUCAGGAGGUUAGUGCAAUGGCAUAAGCCAGCUUGACUGCGAGCGUGACGGCGCGAGCAGGUGCGAAAGCAGGUCAUAGUGAUCCGGUGGUUCUGAAUGGAAGGGCCAUCGCUCAACGGAUAAAAGGUACUCCGGGGAUAACAGGCUGAUACCGCCCAAGAGUUCAUAUCGACGGCGGUGUUUGGCACCUCGAUGUCGGCUCAUCACAUCCUGGGGCUGAAGUAGGUCCCAAGGGUAUGGCUGUUCGCCAUUUAAAGUGGUACGCGAGCUGGGUUUAGAACGUCGUGAGACAGUUCGGUCCCUAUCUGCCGUGGGCGCUGGAGAACUGAGGGGGGCUGCUCCUAGUACGAGAGGACCGGAGUGGACGCAUCACUGGUGUUCGGGUUGUCAUGCCAAUGGCACUGCCCGGUAGCUAAAUGCGGAAGAGAUAAGUGCUGAAAGCAUCUAAGCACGAAACUUGCCCCGAGAUGAGUUCU
rnacentral:rRNA from 1 species